ensembl:snoRNA
UUGAGCCAAAGAUGAUACAAGUUAUCCCUGUCUGAAUUUGGCUGUGGAGUCAUGGUAACCUGAGGCUUGA